GGCUCGAUGGCGGAGGGUCCGCGCCUGCAUAUAUUGAUUAUUUCACAUUAAGUGCCAAAGUAGGAGCGCCCGUUCGACUCGGGCUCGAGCCG